UCAAAGGCUCUUUUCAGAGCCACCCCACAGUCUCGGAGAAAGGGCU
rfam:Sarcophilus harrisii ctg7180002506273, whole genome shotgun sequence.